rnacentral:lncRNA from 1 species
GCAGAAGUCAGCCAUAACUCUGAACCUAAAAAGGAGGUCACCUGAAGCAGCUGUGAGUAAGCAGGUGAAAUGAAUUCCUUAGUCAAAAACAAUUUUGUAUGGGAUAUCAUGAUGGUGAAUAACAAAUUAAAGUUCACGCAUGGUAGUACCAGCAGAACAACUGCGAAUGUAAAGGGCUGCUCAACAUGAAUAUGCAGACGAAGACCUUUAUGAUGAUCCACUUUCACUUAAUGAAUAGUAAACAUAUUUCCUCCUCCUUAUGAUUUUCUUAAUAG